rnacentral:rRNA from 1 species
AGAAUCAACGCUGGCGGCGUGCCUCAGACAUGCAAGUCGAACGCGAAAGUCCCCUUCGGGGGGCAAGUAGAGUGGCGCACGGGUGAGUAACACGUAGGUAAUCUACCUUCGGGUGGGGAAUAACAACCGGAAACGGUUGCUAAUACCGCAUAAUGCAGCGGCACCUAAUGGUGACAGUUGUUAAAGCGGGGGAUCGCAAGAUCUCGCGCCUGAAGAGGAGCCUGCGGCGGAUUAGCUAGUUGGUAGGUAACGGCCUACCAAGGCGACGAUCC